UACAGGGGGGGCAAGCGUUGUUCGGAAUUACUGGGCGUAAAGGGCUCGUAGGCGGCCAACUAAGUCCGACGUGAAAUCCCCAGGCUUAACCUGGGAACUGCGUCGGAUACUGGAUGGCUUGAAUUCGGGAGAGGGAUGCAGAAUUCCAGGUGUAGCGGUGAAAUGCGUAGAUAUCAGGAGGAACACCUGCGGUGUAGACGGCUUUCUGGACCAUUGUUGACGCUGAGACACGAAAGCGUGGGUAGCAAACCGG
rnacentral:rRNA from 1 species